UUUUCCCUAUUAUAUGCUUUUCAUUCACAAGAUUCCUGUAAACCCUAACCCUCACCAUCUACCCCAACAUAGUCUUCGCUACCACCCAUUUCAAUGGCUUCCCUUUCAACCACUUUUCACCCACUGAAUAAAGUAACCCAUAUCUGUCACCUGUUCGACAACGUUCGUGAUCGCCCAACCUCAAGCUCCCAAUCCAUGGAUAGGCCUUCAAUUUUGCUGGCUGAAAACGUGUUCAAGAUGGCCGAAUUUGAGCUCCAUCAAUUAGCAUGGCCGAAUCUGAGUUGCAUGUGGACUCUGGAGGUACGUUUUAAUUUGUUUUAUAGUUGUAAAACCCUAGAUUGUCAAAGAAAGCCCCCCUAAUUAUACAUCUUGUCAUAUAUUUAAAUCUGCAAUUUUGAUGUUCUCUAUCUCCCUAUCUUCCCCCAUUACCGAAGCCCUACUUCUCAAUACAUAGUCUACCUAUGGCUGCCCCAAAUCUUAUGUUUUCAAGUCUUUCUCUUGCCUACGCAUUUUAAUUGAUUCCACUUUUCUCCUCAAUCAAUCAGCGAACUAGAAAGCGAGGAAAUCGUUCACACAUAAUCGCUUAUAUAGAAGUCAGAAUUUCAACUAGUUACGAAUCUCUAAGUUGCCUUUCCCCUCUGUCCAUUCUCAUUGAUUCAUUCCAUUCAAGAAGAACGGGCAAUCCAUCAAAGCUAAAAUAGCGCACUAGAGCAUAGAUUAGAGUAGAUUUGACUAUGAGUAAUUUAAUAUGUAUAUAUAUUUUGAGUAUAAAUCCAAUGUGUUCUUUUAAGUAUUAAAAGGUUUUUUGCUCAACAAAAUUAUCCAUUAUCAUUUUUGUUUUAGAUUUAGCUAGUGAUGAACUAGGCCAUAAGUGGAAAAUAAAUAGUUAUCCAAUUGGUUAAAGUAGUAUUAUUAAUUGAGCCAUUUAGAUUGUAUGCUCAAGCCAAUUUUGUUAGUGGGUAUUAAGUCUUUUAAUAUACAAGAGUGGGAGUGGGAAUACCCUCUACCCAAACUUAGUUAAAUUAUUAUUAUUAUUAUAUUGAAACUUCUCUCAUGUGACCUUACAUAUAGUUUGUGAAAUGUCACAUAUGGUGUGUGAUGAUGACUGAUACUCACUAUGAUAAGGUACAUUGGUAUUUCUUACGCUUCUUAAUAGUUUAACUUAUUUUUAUUGCAUUUACUCUCUUCUUCUUUUUUUUCUAGGAUGGAGCAAGGGAACACUUUGAUGCCUAUUGAAGGUCUCAAAAUACAUUGUUCUAAUCUACAGAUGUGGUAGCAUGGGUUUGGUUUCACAAGUUAGUUCAUAAUGGUGGUUAACUGUUAUUGGGAAAUUCAGUUGGUGCUAAGUGAAAUUCAAUGUGAACAAUGGACAGCCCUAACAAUGAGCUUCUGGAGUGACUUGGUGUGGAAUUAUUGUAUUCAAAGGCGAAAUGCAUAAAGUCAUAAACAGUUUGAAGAAUGACUACCUUUCAUGAAAUUCAGUUGGUGCCAAGUAAAAUUCAAUGCGAGCAAUGGACAGCCCUAACAAUGAGCUUCUGGAGUGACUUGGUGUGGAAUUACUGUAUUCAAAGGCGAAGUGCAUAAAGUCAUAAACAGUUUGAAGAAUUUUAAGAUUUUAGAGGACUAGUAUGAAGGCAUGAGAGUUCUUUUGUGCGUGUGUGUGUGUGUUUUUUUUUUUUUUUAGGAAUGAGAGUUUAUUUUUUACUUGUUAGUAUGAAUUUGUAUUGUACAAUUGGGUAGUUCUCUUUUGUAAUCAAAUCGAAUAUUGUAAUACAAUUUUGUAAUGAUAUUUGAUGUUUUAUUCAA